GAUCCUGGCUUAGGACGAACGCUGGCGGCGUGCUUAACACAUGCAAGUCGAACGGGAGUAUUGAAGAAGCUGCUUUAGAGAUACUUAGUGGCGGACGGGUGAGUAACGCGUGAGGAGCUGUCCUAUGCAGGGGGACAACAGCUGGAAACGGCUGCUAAUACCCCAUAAGCCGAGAGGUAAAAGGAUCAAUCCGGCAGAGGAGGUACUCGCGUCCUAUCAGCUAGUAGGUGAGGUAACGGCUCACCUAGGCGAAGACGGGUAGCCGGCCUGAGAGGGCGAACGGCCACACUGGAACUGAGAUACGGUCCAGACUCCGUACGGGAGGCAGCAGGUGGGGAAUAGUUGGCAAUGGGGAAACCCUUGACCCAGCGACGCCGCGUGGGUGAAGAAAUCCUUCGGGAUGUAAAGCCCUGUUGUAUGGGAAGAGCGGAAGACGGUACCAUACGAGGAAGCCCCGGCAAACUACGUGCCAGCAGCCGC
rnacentral:rRNA from 1 species